AGAAUAAGAAAAUUUUAGUAUUGUACCUUUUGUAUCAGGGGAGUUUAAAAUUAUAAAUAUGGUAUGCUCGAUUAAACUGGUUCUUCUAUUGUUAUUUUUAGUAGAAUUUAAAAAUAAAAAAAAAUAAGUGGUGAAAAAUUUACGGAAGUUUUGGUAUCUAGUUAUUUUUAAAUUUUAAAGGGUAAAGCUUUUAAAAUUUUACGUUAAAAAAAAUUAAAAAAAACUAGGCUUUAGAUUAGCCAAGCUUAUAAAUUGUUUUAAAUAAUUAUUAAAAAAAAUUAAGUGUAAAUUUAUAUUGAAGUAAUUAAACCUUUUUAGUUAGUAGUGAUAAUGAAUUUAUUGAAUAUCAAAUGAAAUUAAAAAAUAACUCGUAGUAAGUUAGAAAGUUUAGCAAAAACAUUUUUCUUUGAUGUAAAAAUAGUAAGGCCUGCCCAGUGAUAAAUUUAACGGCUGCGGUAUUUUGACUGUGCUAAGGUAGCAUAAUCAUUUGUUUCUUAAUUGGUAACUGGAAUGAAAGGUUAAACUAGUUUGUUUAGUUUGUUUAGUUAAAUAAGAAAUUAAAGUCAAGGUAAAAAUUCUUUGAUUUACUAGGGGACGAUAAGACCCUAGAAGCUUAAUAAAAAGAUUAAUUGUUUGUGUUAAAAGUAAAUUUAUUUUACUGGGGCGGUAGUAGUAUAUAAACUGUUAUGUUGUUGGAGGCUCCUUUUAAUAAAGAUAAGACGGUAAAGUUACUCUAGGGAUAACAGUGCAAUAUUUUUGGAGAGAUCUUAUCGAUAAAAGUGUUUGUAACCUCGAUGUUGAAUUAAAAUAUCUAUAUGAAGCAGCAAGCAUAAUAGAGGGUUUGUUCAACC
rnacentral:rRNA from 1 species